rnacentral:rRNA from 1 species
GCUUAGAAGCAGCCACCCUUUAAAGAAAGCGUAAUAGCUCACUGGUCGAGUCGGUCUGCGGGGAAGAUUUAACGGGGCUAAGCACAGAACCGAAGCUUGGGGUGCAUAACUUUGUUAUGCGCGGUAGAGGAGCGUUCCGUAAGCCGUUGAAGGUGGAUUGAGAAGUCUGCUGGAGGUAUCGGAAGUGCGAAUGCUGACAUGAGUAACGAUAAUGCGGGUGAAAAACCCGCACGCCGAAAGCCCAAGGUUUCCUUGCGCAACGUUAAUCGGCGCAGGGUGAGUCGGCCCCUAAGGCGAGGACGAAAGUCGUAGUCGAUGGGAAGCAGGUUAAUAUUCCUGCACCUCGCGUAAGUGCGAUGGAGGGACGGAGAAGGUUAGGUGUACCAGGCGUUGGUUGUCCUGGGGAAAGGCGGUAGGUUUGGAUCUUUGGCAAAUCCGGGAUCCUCUAAGACCGAGCACCGAGACGAGCCUUUAUGGCGAAGUCACUGAUACCACGCUUCCAGGAAAAGCUCCUAAGCUUCAGCUUACGCAGACCGUACCGUAAACCGACACAGGUGGGUAGGAUGAGAAUUCUCAGGCGCUUGAGAGAACUCGGGUGAAGGA